rnacentral:lncRNA from 1 species
UUGGGUCACGUGGGGAUGGUUGGCUGAGUGACUAAGAAACAAGGGGAUUCGGUUAAGUGUCUCAUCAAGCUACUGGUUAGAUAAGGAAGGACGGGAAAGCAUGUAGACAGCAAGGAAGGAGUGUAUGGAUGGAUUGUCACACAACGAAGCACCGAGGCAUUAAGGUACAUAUUUAUCAUGCUGCGAAAAUUAGUAGACUGCUAAGUUGCUGGAUUAGACUUAGCGAAUCAUGUGUACUGAACUGAACCUCAUAGAGGAAAACUGGGAUAAAAUCGUAAAUUAGAGAAAAAUCGGGUAUCGAUCAUGUUUGGUCGAGGGAAGCGAACUGGGGUCAUACUGGCGGUAAGGAAAACCAGGUCGGGGCCUUUCAAGUGGUAUCAGAGCGAUUACGGUUCUAGGACAGAGUUGGAAGGAUUAUUCAAGAUUUGUCUAGACCGAAAGGAUGUGAAAAAUGCUAAGCGCGAGCAUUGGAGAACUGACGAGAGACUUGAUCUUGGGAGUGAUCAAGUCAGACUUACAGUUUGAAUGGGCAAAUGUAAGUUAGAAGUCUAACUGGAAAGAAACCGCAGAUAAGAUCAUUGAUGAAUGAUUGGAUUCGUUGAAUGAAGUCUGAGUUAAGAUCAUUUGGAGAAUGACCGGAUUGCUUAAGGUCUUUUGGAUUACUCGAGAGAGUUAUCGAAUAAAUUUUUCUAAGUGUUGGAAACAACCGAGAGGUUUAUUUAAGUCAAUGGAUCCAGAUACUGAAGUGAAGAACGGGAAAGAUUGACGAAGUGUAUUUUGAAGCUUAAGGAUAAUAAGCUGAUUGGAGUUAGGAUUGAAUCAAGUGGCUCAAGAAAGCCAAGGAUGCUUCGGAAAAGUCUAAGUAAGACAAGGAACUGUCAAGGACAAUGAUGUCGGAUAUUGAGCCAAGGAGCUGACGAGUUUAACUUUGUAUGGACAAGACGUCCAUAACUGAAUUUGGAAGGAAGACUUCAUCAGAAAGGUUCAAGGCAGAAUAACCGAGUGGAUGAGCUGAAUGUUGUAAACGGAAACAGAGUUGAACAGGUGGUCCGAGGAUUGAGAUGGAAUCUCAAUGAACUGGCUAAGGCAAUUGAUGGAUUGCUAAGAGAUAACCUGAAAGAGUCAGGAAAUCGGAAAAACUGAAUUGGACAAGUCGUCCAUGGAAGAGCCUAAGGACUAAUGGCCAAGGCACCGAUGCUGGAAUGUGAGUACGGAGACUUACAUUCGAAUGGAACGUCUGUUGAGAAUGCUUAGACGGAUUCUAAGAUUUUCAAGGUAAUGGACAAGCUCGUCCGGGAAAAUGGAACUGGGAGUGUCAUAAAAAGUCGAAUAAAUUUUUCUAAGUGUUGGAAACAACCGAGAGGUUUAUUUAAGUCAAUGGAUCCAGAUACUGAAGUGAAGAACGGGAAAGAUUGACGAAGUGUAUUUUGAAGCUUAAGGAUAAUAAGCUGAUUGGAGUUAGGAUUGAAUCAAGUGGCUCAAGAAAGCCAAGGAUGCUUCGGAAAAGUCUAAGUAAGACAAGGAACUGUCAAGGACAAUGAUGUCGGAUAUUGAGCCAAGGAGCUGACGAGUUUAACUUUGUAUGGACAAGACGUCCAUAACUGAAUUUGGAAGGAAGACUUCAUCAGAAAGGUUCAAGGCAGAAUAACCGAGUGGAUGAGCUGAAUGUUGUAAACGGAAACAGAGUUGAACAGGUGGUCCGAGGAUUGAGAUGGAAUCUCAAUGAACUGGCUAAGGCAAUUGAUGGAUUGCUAAGAGAUAACCUGAAAGAGUCAGGAAAUCGGAAAAACUGAAUUGGACAAGUCGUCCAUGGAAGAGCCUAAGGACUAAUGGCCAAGGCACCGAUGCUGGAAUGUGAGUACGGAGACUUACAUUCGAAUGGAACGUCUGUUGAGAAUGCUUAGACGGAUUCUAAGAUUUUCAAGGUAAUGGACAAGCUCGUCCGGGAAAAUGGAACUGGGAGUGUCAUAAAAAGAUUUUGGAAAAAUCUGAAUAAGACUUACACUUAGCAAGUGGUGAUUGUAGGCAAGUCUGGAUAUAGGAACUGGACAAAAGAAUUGUCAAGGUUGACUAAGCUUGAUCGUCUUAGUAGGCUCGUGCGGUCCGAGAGUUGAGAUCAUCGGAACAAGAGAUUGGAAGUCAGGUGUACUUGCCAAAGACUUGUUAGGUGAUCAAGAAACUACUCGGAUGUACAAGAUACUAUAGAUGAUGAGUUGUGGUCAAAGUUUCAAAAGUGGUAAAUGAUCGGUUCCUACCAUGAGCGUCUAGAUCACACAAAGUACUUGGGGGCGGUGAUGCUUACUAAGACUUGCUGGAUUUUGGAUGACGGCUCGAUGAAUUGGGACGAUCAUUUGAGUUUAAAUUAAUUAUCCCUUUCAUGCGAGAGUCUAGAUCAGUCUAGGAGCUUAUGGCUAAGAUGCUCAUUAAGGCUUAGCUGGAUUGCAAGACGGCUUCUCGAUGACUUGGAAUAAUAAUGCUAGAUCAGACUGAGUGUCUGAUUAACUUGACAAGUGGGGAUACUGAACAUUAGUGCUAGUAAUGAUGAUAAGUCCUUAAGAACCAAGUGGGUUUGCUGAGGCAUAACUGUACUGAUACUGUAUGUUAUGGCGUCUAUGGAAACUGAGAGUUUCCAAGGCGUGACUGUCUGUCAUCGCGUGUUCUGUCCUGACGUAUGUGGGAACCGGAGAGUUGCCAAGACGUAACUGUUAUCGCGUCGGUGGGAACUAGAUUAGUUCGACAUCGCGUGUUUGUAUUGUAGUCUGCGGAAACCCAUUCUGAUGUCUAUGGGAGAUCUACCUUCCAAGACAUAACUGUACUGUCACUGGAACUCAAGGAGUUCACUACUGUGGGUUUCCGAUCGCGAUGAAAGCAUGGAUGGGAACUAGUGAGAGUUUGCCAUCACAUGUCUGUAGGACGUCUGUCUGUUUAGUAUAAUGAACUGAGGUCGUUGGGAACUGUUGAGUUUAUAAGACAUAACCGCGACUGAAUCAAGACAUAACCGCGACUGAAUAAUGGGAACUAGAAAAGUUUGCCAUUUUGGAACUGUGAACCAGGAAGGACUGGGGAAUCUGAAAGGAAAAUUGUGUAAGGGAUCAAGUGUAGGAUCUGGUAAGAAAUGUCUGUAAAGAUCAAGAAUGAUCUGGAGGUGUCAAUAAAGAUCAGUAAAGAUCUGAGAAAAACUGAUGUCAAUCAUAAGUGGUCAGGGACUGGUUAGGAUCAAGGAGUGAUCCGAGGAAACAACUGUAAGGAUCAAGAUGAGAUCCAUGCGUUCUGAAAAGAUUAAGUUCCUAGUACUCGGAGUUAGUCCAUGCAAAGGAACACUGGAGUGCGAGAAUCAAAGAGUCAAGUCAGGAUUGGACUGAGACGGGUUGGAACUGAGUUCCAGAAGGACUAAAGUUGAAUCAAUAAGUGAUUGUGAUCGGUUAAGGUUUAAGCUGGAAAAACUUAACUAAGAUAGUGAGUUAACACUUCGAGAAUUGAGGUAAACUGGUCAGCACUGUUGGGAGUCUAGUGUGUGUCCAAACACAAAGAGAGUGCUCAGAAGUAAGAACUACUAUGCCUACUGAGUUGGUGAACUGAACUGAGUCUGCUGAGACUAAGUAUGUGGAAAGGCACUGAAUUGAGGAAAUCGAUAGCUGAGAUCGAAUCUGUGAGUGGGAUUUUGACCAGAAAGUCUUGAGAACAGUAAUGGUCGAAUGACCGAAAGUAUGAGAACUGAGUUAAGGCAUGAGUGUCGUAUGUUGGAACAAUUCUGAUUGGAUAGAACAAAUUUCUAUUAACUGCAGAAUUCGAGUUCGUUACAGACGAAGGUGGAUUCAAUGCAAAGGUGGCUUAUAUUAUUUAUUCGUAAAAACUUACAAUAAAUAUCAGUUACAGCAGUGGUUUACGCAUCUUUAAAAAUGUUAACAACUCGAAUUCGAAUAAAAACCACGGGUGUUUUGCAUGUUUUAUGAUUAAGUUUAAUUAAAUGCAAUUAUGACUUUUACAAGUUGUCUUCUUCUUUAGACUUUUAGGUUUAAAGCAAUAUUGACUCCGACGGCUCAUAAUUUUUCACGAGUUAUACAUCAAUUUCUUCGUUUUUUUGCCAUUUUCAUGAAAACAUCAUGAAUCUUUAUAUAUACUACGCGAUUAUAGGAUGAAACGAGUAAAAAUUAAUUUUUUUAAGAAUCUCGAUUUUUCAACCGAAUCAAUCUAAAUCGUCACCGCUGGUGCCCGAGUUACGUUUUCCAACGAUUUUACGGCCCUUGGCGGUGAGUUUUCUAACAAGAUUGUGUAAUGAAUUAAUGGUUGUUGGAUCAUUUUAAUUAACUCGCGGCCUAUCGCACCCAGUUUCUACAUAAGCCUUAAAAGGUAAGGCUGAUGCGUCAGACAGACCCAAAGAAGCCUCCUAAUCUUAUAUUCUUUUUCACCGUCUCUAAGCUAGGGCCUAGAGUUCUCCCACUUUGUCGCUUAACUCUCACCUCCGAUGAUAAACCGUUAAACUCUAAACCGCUCUAUUCAGUGUCGCGUAUCAUUGAAACUCUUUAAAUUGAUAGAAUUUCAUAGUCUUACUGAAAACUUGAUUAAUAUAACUUUUCUUUGUUGUUUGUUCUACUUUCCGAAGUUGUCCACUAAGACAUGUACGCCAUGGAGGGAUUCACUAAUUUCCCAGACUUCAAAUCCGAAUUAGAACACAUUGGUAGUUUCAAGGAGGAGGUGAACAAAUCGUUUACACAGCCGACAACUAUAGGAACAACCAAUGAAAAAGAAACACAGCUUCUUGGACAGACUAAGAGAGUUUGCAUAGACCUGAGGGAGCUCAUGGAGAUUCAUUUUUUAUUUCUGUUAAAAGAUCUGGCCACCAUAUUUAUAGGGUUAUGUAUAUUCUCUUUCUCUAUGUCUAAUAAAAGGUUUCACUAUUGUUUGAGGUUUCUAAACUGUGGUAGAUAAUUAUUUUCUUAUACUUGCACAGCUUGCAUAUUUACUGGAUAGCUAAUGAGGAUGACAAUUAGUCAGCGUAUCAGAUGUUGAAUUUCAUCGGAUGUCGGUCUCUGUCCGACAUAUUCAUGGGAAAAAUGUUGCUAGAUGUCGAAUUCAUGAAGAUAAAUCGGAAACUCUUUUAGACAUCCACACAUAAGAUAUGAAAUAUGAACACGUAAAAAAUCACCGGUUAUUUUUAUAUCAACUUAAUCAAUCUAUUAUAAUAUAAAUUAUAUAUACAACACAGAAAAAUAAAAGUUAAAAUAAAAAAAAAAUCCCGACUAAACAAUGCAUCAAUAACAUACCCGGCUCCGCACUUUCGCGGGGGCUAUGUGUAGCAUCCCCGUCCCGCAGUCUGAGCUGGAUCAGUCCAAAGUCGAGUGUUAGUUGGACUGAUCAGACGAACAAGGCAUGUGCAACAUGUCAUCUGGAUUGUAUUGGCCGGAUUAAGAAUCUAUUGUGGGUCUGGACAUAGCAGUUGAGCUUGUCGGACUAAGCUGGUCGGAUUCAGACAAGGCAGUUGGACUUGUCUCUUGAGAGUAGUUAGUCGGCCAACGGACUGAUUAAUAUACGUUCUGGCAGGAACGGAUACAGAGCUAAACAUAAACUGAUUAGCCAAGGAAAAUGGAGGGAACAGUUACUGGCGGUUACCGGAACGGUUACUAAGCAGUUCCGGAACGGUUACCUGAACGGUUACUGAGCAGUUCCGGAACAGUUACCUGAACGGUUACUGAGCGGUUACCGGAUACUAACUGACAAGGACAAUUGAGUCUUGGAACUGCUACGGCAGUUAUAAAGCAGUUGGCUCGCUGGGAUAUUUAUAUCUGACGGGGAACAAUAAUGGAACUGUCGGGAGUUAUGUUAAAACUGUCCGGGAGCAGUUAUGGAACGGGAAAAAGGUGAUUUCCGAAUGGAUGGAGAGCGGGUAAUAACUGGCUUGGAUGGUUAAGGCCAAGAAGUAACCGCAAACUCCUUUUAAUCUGAUUUCCGCGGAAAUGGAAGGACAUUUUUUCUCUACGCGGUUCUGGACAGACAAGAGGAGGGAGAGAGCCGAGAGAGAGGAAAAAUUGAUCGGAAAGAGAGAGAGAUGGCCGGAGGCAUAGCUAUUUCUCUAAGCAUAGCUAGCGUACUGUCUGUUCUGGAUGGCUAGUUGGAGACCAAGCCGUCUCGCCUUGUUACUAGGGUCACGUGGGGAUGGUUGGCUGAGUGACUAAGAAACAAGGGGAUUCGGUUAAGUGUCUCAUCAAGCUACUGGUUAGAUAAGGAAGGACGGGAAAGCAUGUAGACAGCAAGGAAGGAGUGUAUGGAUGGAUUGUCACACAACGAAGCACCGAGGCAUUAAGGUACAUAUUUAUCAUGCUGCGAAAAUUAGUAGACUGCUAAGUUGCUGGAUUAGACUUAGCGAAUCAUGUGUACUGAACUGAACCUCAUAGAGGAAAACUGGGAUAAAAUCGUAAAUUAGAGAAAAAUCGGGUAUCGAUCAUGUUUGGUCGAGGGAAGCAAACUGGGGUCGUACUGGCGGUAAGGAAAACCAGGUCGGGGCCUUUCAAGUGGUAUCAGAGCGAUUACGGUUCUAGGACAGAGUUGGAAGGAUUAUUCAAGAUUUGUCUAGACCGAAAGGAUGUGAAAAAUGCUAAGCGCGAGCAUUGGAGAACUGACGAGAGACUUGAUCUUGGGAGUGAUCAAGUCAGACUUACAGUUUGAAUGGGCAAAUGUAAGUU